GGCGGCGUGCUAUACAUGCAAGUCGAACGAGCUCUCCCAAAUUGAUUUUAUGCUUGCAUAAAUGAUUUUUGGAUUCGGAGCGAGUGGCGAACUGGUGAGUAACACGUGGGUAACCUGCCCCGAAGCGGGGGAUAACAUUUGGAAACAAGUGCUAAUACCGCAUAAUUAGUUGGAACCGCAUGGUUCCAACUUGAAAGAUGGCUCUGCUAUCACUUUGGGAUGGACCCGCGCCGUAUUAGUUAGUUGGUGAGAUAAAAGCCCACCAAGACGAUGAUACGUAGCCGACCUGAGAGGGUAAUCGGCCACAUUGGGACUGAGACACGGCCCAGACUCCUACGGGAGGCAGCAGUAGGGAAUCUUCCACAAUGGACGAAAGUCUGAUGGAGCAACGCCGCGUGAGUGAUGAAGGUUUUCGGAUCGUAAAACUCUGUUGUUAAAGAAGAACAAGUGUUAGAGUAACUGUUAACACUUUGACGGUAUUUAACCAGAAAGCCACGGCUAACUACGUGCCAGCAGCCGCGGUAAUACGUAGGUGGCAAGCGUUGUCCGGAUUUAUUGGGCGUAAAGCGAGCGCAGGCGGUUUUGUAAGUCUGCUGUGAAGGCCCUCAGCUCAACUGAGGAAGUGCAGUGGAAACUACAAAACUUGAGUACAGAAGAGGAAAGUGGAACUCCAUGUGUAGCGGUGAAAUGCGUAGAUAUAUGGAAGAACACCAGUGGCGAAGGCGGCUUUCUGGUCUGUUACUGACGCUGAGGCUCGAAAGCAUGGGUAGCGAACAGGAUUAGAUACCCUGGUAGUCCAUGCCGUAAACCAUGAUUACUAUUUGUGGAAGGGGUUCAGCCCUUCAAUGCUGCUGCUGAUGCAUUAAGUAUACCGUCUGGCGAGUACGACCGCAAGGUUGAAACUCAAAGGAAUUGACGGGGGCCCGCACAAGUGGUGGAGCAUGUGGUUUAAUUCGAUGCUACGCGAAGAACCUUACCAGCUCUUGACAUCUUCUGCCAACCCAAGAGAUUGGGCGUUCCCUUCGGGGACAGAUUGACAGGUGGUGCAUGGUUGUCGUCAGCUCGUGUCAUGACAUGUUGGGUUAAGUCCUGCAACGAGCGCAACCCUUAUUAU
rnacentral:rRNA from 1 species